GACAGAGGGGGCAAGCGUUGCUCGGAAUUACUGGGCGUAAAGAGCGCGCAGGCGGUCGUUCAAGUCGAGUGUGAAAGCCCCCGGCUCAAUUGGGGAGGGUCACUCGAUACUGAUCGACUCGAAGGCAGGAGAGGGAAGUGGAAUUUUUGGUGUAGUGGUGAAAUGCGUAGAUAUCAGGAGGAACACCGGUGGUGUAGACGGCUUUCUGGACCGUAACUGACGCUGAAACACGAAAGCGUGGGUAGCAAACAGG
rnacentral:rRNA from 1 species